GGGCGAUUAGCUCAGCUGGUUAGAGCGCGACACUGAUAAUGUCGAGGUCAGUGGUUCGAGUCCACUAUCGCCCA
rnacentral:tRNA from 1 species